rnacentral:lncRNA from 1 species
GAAAAAUGAGUUUGUUUGUUGUUAAGCAUGUAGAGGAUUUGUAUUUAUACAUGUUUUUGAGCUACAAUGUGAUGGAUAGUUUAAAUGUGAGGGAGAAUGGACAGUAAAUGUGAGGUAGAAUUGAGAUUAUUUCAAUUUUAUGUAUUAGGGAAAAAUUAGAGUAAAUGUAUUUUUAAUAUUUAUAAAUUAGCCAUAUAAAUUAUAGGUGUAAUUUCAUACUUUAGUACUUUUCAGAUAGAGGUAUGGAAUUAGCCAUUUUUAGAAUAAGUAAAUUAUGUGGGAAAUAUUGAAUUUUUUAAUAGUUUAGUUAUUUGUAAAUUAAAUAUGAGCUAAAUAAUUUGUGGUACAUAGAGAUGGCUUCUGAUGCUGGAUGUAGUGGCGAUGGUGGGGCAGAUCAUCGUUCCUCUCACGGCAAGGGGAAAACUAUAGUUGGCUCUCACGAUAAGCUAAAGAAAAUGAGUGCGUGAGAGAAAGCAAUGCUUCGUUAUUUGCAAAGAUGUCAUGAAGAUGCUGUUGCGGCGGGUCAGGAACCUCCUUUUGGUGGUCGUUAUGCUCCACCGCCAGUCCCGGGUGUUUUAGGUCCACUUAUAAG